rnacentral:lncRNA from 1 species
CAUUUAUUGAAGUGAUGGGAGCAGGACCCCAAACAUCUGAGUAAACAAGAUCUAAUGGACCACCACUCUUCAGAAAUAAUAUUCCAAAAGGGAGUUUAUGACUCUUAUUACAUGAGCAAGAAUUAUAUGGAAAAUUAAACGACAUAGAAAAUGAUAAUGGUAAAAGACUUGAUUUGGCGAGAUGAUGUAGAACUUUGGAGGAAGGAUGUCCAAGACAAUUAUGCCAAGUUGUGAUGUUUGCUUUGAC